rnacentral:lncRNA from 1 species
CUGUGUUGGUAGGGACAUCUGAGAGUAAUGAUGAAUGCCAACCGCUCUGAUGGUGGCACAUGCCGAGUCACCCGAGUAAGCUAUUGUUAAGGGCCGUGACCCGAGCCUCCAUCAGCCGUCCGCUCUCAUGAAAGGCUGUCGGUGGUAGUCCACGUGCUUAAGUGCCUGCAUUCCGCAGUGUCACCAAUAUUUCCAUUAGUGUUUCUUUUUUCUUUUUUGAGACCGAGCCUCGUUCUGUCACCCAGGCUGGAAUGCAGUGGCUCGACAUCGGUUAAUGGCAACCUCCGCGUCCCGAGUUAAGCAGUUCUGCCUCAGCCUCCCAAGUAACUGGGACUACAGGCGCGCGCCACCAUGCUAGGCUUUUAUAUUUUUAGUAGAGACGGGGUUUCACCAUGUUGGCGAGACUGGUCUUGAACUCCUGACCUCAGGUGAUCCACCAGCCGUGGUCCCCCAACAUACUGGGAUUACAAGCCGUGAGCCACCGCGCCCGGCCGCCAUCGGUGGUUCUUAACUGCGGGUGCAGUGCUUCUUUGUAACAUUAAGUGUAUCCUUUACCUGUCGCUAGAUAAUGAAUGGUAUGUUACCUGCAUCAUUGGUUUAAAAAGACGAACCGUUUUUUUAAAGAACACUCUUUAAAAAAAAGAACCGUGGAACAAUGAAUUAAAAUCUGUACCUGAUCUCUUUAGGUAUGGUGCUGGGUGCAGAUGCAGUGUGGCUCUGGAUAGCACCUUAUGGACAGUUGUGUCCCCAAGGAAGGAUGAGAAUAGCUACUGAAGUCCUAAAGAGCAAGCCUAACUCAAGCCAUUGGCACACAGGCAUUAGACAGAAAGCUGGAAGUUGAAAUGGUGGAGUCCAACUUGCCUGGACCAGCUUAAUGGUUCUGCUCCUGGUAACGUUUUUAUCCAUGGAUGACUUGCUUGGGUAAGGACAUGAAGACAGUUCCUGUCAUACCUUUUAAAGGUAUGGAGAGUCGGCUUGACUACACUGUGUGGAGCAAGUUUUAAAGAAGCAAAGGACUCAGAAUUCAUGAUUGAAGAAAUGCAGGGUUUUUAAUGACCACAACAAGCAAGCAUGCAGCUUACUGCUUGAAAGGGUCUUGCCUCACCCAAGCUAGAGUGCAGUGGCCUUUGAAGCUUACUACAGCCUCAAACUUCUGGGCUCAAGUGAUCCUCAGCCUCCCAGUGGUCUUUGUAGACUGCCUGAUGGAGUCUCAUGGCACAAGAAGAUUAAAACAGUGUCUC